UACUCUUCUUAAAAUUUUCUUCCUGUACUUCUGGUGGCCUUUUGACCUCUGGUUUGAUACCAUUUCUCUAAUGUGUAUUAUUUGGUCUUUUGCUUCAGUUACCUCAACAUAUUGAGAUACUUGUCUUAGCAGUCACUCAUAUCAAUGAACCUGACAGCUUAUAUGGGAUCAUUCUGUCCAACAAGUAUGAGGCUGCUUGGCAUGCUGGAAACUGGAAUUUUUCCUUGCUUUACAUGGGAGAUAAUUCACAGAGUGAGCAAAACUAAAAGUGGCCAUUUCAAUGAAAAUCUGCACAGAUAUUUCGACUGGUUUCCCUGUGGUUCACUCUAUCAGAUAGACAAGAUAUCAUAA